CCUACGGGAGACAGCAGUGAGGAAUCUUGGUCAAUGGCCGGAAGGCUGAACCAGCCAAGCCGCGUGAAGGACGAAGGUGCCAAGCAUUGUAAACUUCUUUUGUCAAGGGACAAAAUCAGGCUCGAGAGCCUGACCGAGGGUACUUUAAGAAAAAGCAUCGGCUAACUCCGUGCCAGCAGCCGCGGUAAUACGGAGGAUGCGAGCGUUAUCCGGAUUUAUUGGGUUUAACGGGUGCGUAGGCGGACUGUUAAGUCAGCGGUAAAAGCCCGGGGCUCAACCCCGGCGAGCCGGUGAAACUGGCUGUCUUGAGAUGUCGAGAGGUAUGCGGAAUGCGCAGUGUAGCGGUGAAAUGCUUAGAUAUUGCGCAGAACUCCGAUUGCGAAGGCAGCAUACCGGCGGCGAUCUGACGCUGAGGCUCGAAAGUGUGGGUAUCAAACAGGAUUAGAUACCCGUGUAGUC
rnacentral:rRNA from 1 species